CCUACGGGUGGCAGCAGUGGGGCAUAUUGCACAAUGGGGGAAACCCUGAUGCAGCGACGCCGCGUGAGCGAGGAAGUAUUUCGGUAUGUAAAGCUCUAUCAGCAGGGACGAACAAAGACGGUGCCUGACUAAGAAGCCCCGGCUAACUCCGUGCCAGCAGCCGCGGUAAUACGGAGGGGGCAAGCGUUAUCCGGAUUUACUGGGUGUACAGGGAGCGUAGACGGCAAGGCAAGCCAGAAGUGAAAUGGCAGGGCUCAACCCGGGACAUGCUUUUGGAACUGUGGUUCGAGAGUGCAGGAGAGGUAAGUGGAAUUCCUGGUGUAGAGGUGAAAUGCGUAGAUAUUAGGAGGAACAACAGUGGCGAAGGCGGCUUACUGG
rnacentral:rRNA from 1 species